rnacentral:rRNA from 1 species
UACAGAGGGUGCGAGCGUUAAUCGGAAUUACUGGGCGUAAAGCGCACGUAGGCGGCUUGGUAUGUCGGGUGUGAAAUCCCCGGGCUCAACCUGGGAACUGCGUCCGAUACUGGAAGGCUUGAAUCCGGGAGAGGGAUGUGGAAUUCCAGGUGUAGCGGUGAAAUGCGUAGAUAUCUGGAGGAACACCGGUGGCGAAGGCGACAUCCUGGACCGGUAUUGACGCUGAGGCGCGAAAGCCAGGGGAGCAAACGGG